rnacentral:rRNA from 1 species
CAGUAGCCGCGGGAAUACGUAGGUGGCAAGCGUUGUCCGGAAUUAUUGGGCGUAAAGGGCUCGCAGGCGGUUUCUUAAGUCUGAUGUGAAAGCCCCCGGCUCAACCGGGGAGGGUCAUUGGAAACUGGGAAACUUGAGUGCAGAAGAGGAGAGUGGAAUUCCACGUGUAGCGGUGAAAUGCGUAGAGAUGUGGAGGAACACCAGUGGCGAAGGCGACUCUCUGGUCUGUAACUGACGCUGAGGAGCGAAAGCGUGGGGAGCGAACAGGAUUGGAUACCCGUGUAGUCCCUGUCUCUUAUAC